ensembl:lncRNA
AUGUUCCCUGGAACCGGUGGACCUGGGGUCCCAGGUGGUGAUAGCAGGUUGCAGCCUGGUCCUCAGGGGCCUCCUGGACCACCAGGCCCUCCAGGUCCCCCAGGGGCCCAAGGGUUUACAGGAAUCCAAGGCCCACAGCCUCCUGUUUUGCUGCCUCAGGAUUCAGCUUCCACGGGCAAGGAGGGCUGUGGCGAAUGCUCCAAGGGCCUACCAGGUGUGCCCGGCGUGGUUGGUGCUAAGGGCGAGAAGGGAGAUCAGGGCAAGCCUGGCGUUGAACACUUAGAUAGAUGCGAACGGUGUUUAGAGAAGCUGCAGAGAGAAGAAACACCAAGUAGGCCUGUAAGUCUGUGGACCGAAUGA